rnacentral:rRNA from 1 species
CACAUGCAGUCGAGCGAAGCACUUUGCUUAGAUUCUUCGGAUGAAGAGGAUUGUGACUGAGCGGCGGACGGGUGAGUAACGCGUGGGUAACCUGCCUCAUACAGGGGGAUAACAGUUAGAAAUGACUGCUAAUACCGCAUAAGACCACAGCACCGCAUGGUGCGGGGGUAAAAACUCCGGUGGUAUGAGAUGGACCCGCGUCUGAUUAGCUAGUUGGUAAGGUAACGGCUUACCAAGGCGACGAUCAGUAGCCGACCUGAGAGGGUGACCGGCCACAUUGGGACUGAGACACGGCCCAAACUCCUACGGGAGGCAGCAGUGGGGAAUAUUGCACAAUGGGGGAAACCCUGAUGCAGCGACGCCGCGUGAGCGAAGAAGUAUUUCGGUAUGUAAAGCUCUAUCAGCAGGGAAGAAAAUGACGGUACCUGACUAAGAAGCACCGGCUAAAUACGUGCCAGCAGCCGCGGUAAUACGUAUGGUGCAAGCGUUAUCCGGAUUUACUGGGUGUAAAGGGAGCGUAGACGGAUGGGCAAGUCUGAUGUGAAAACCCGGGGCUCAACCCCGGGACUGCAUUGGAAACUGUUCAUCUAGAGUGCUGGAGAGGUAAGUGGAAUUCCUAGUGUAGCGGUGAAAUGCGUAGAUAUUAGGAGGAACACCAGUGGCGAAGGCGGCUUACUGGACAGUAACUGACGUUGAGGCUCGAAAGCGUGGGGAGCAAACAGGAUUAGAUACCCUGGUAGUCCACGCCGUAAACGAUGACUACUAGGUGUCGGGUGGCAAAGCCAUUCGGUGCCGCAGCAAACGCAAUAAGUAGUCCACCUGGGGAGUACGUUCGCAAGAAUGAAACUCAAGGGAAUUGACGGGGACCCGCA